GACAGAGGGUGCAAACGUUGCUCGGAAUUACUGGGCGUAAAGCGCGUGUAGGCGGGUCGGUGUGUCGGGUGUGAAAUCCCCAGGCUCAACCUGGGAACUGCAUUGGUGACUGGCAGGCUUUGAGUGUGGCAGAGGGAGGUAGAAUUCCACGGUGUAAGCAGUGAAAUGCGUAGAGAUCAUGAGGAAGACCAGUGGCGAAGGCGGGUCGCUGGACAGUUCCUGACACUGAGACACGAAGGCCAGGGGAGCAAACGGG
rnacentral:rRNA from 1 species